AUUGAACGCUGGCGGCAGGCUUAACACAUGCAAGUCGAGCGGGGGAAGGUAGCUUGCUACCGGGCCUAGCGGCGGACGGGUGAGUAAUGCUUAGGAAUCUGCCUAUUAGUGGGGGACAACAUCUCGAAAGGGAUGCUAAUACCGCAUACGUCCUACGGGAGAAAGCAGGGGAUCUUCGGACCUUGCGCUAAUAGAUGAGCCUAAGUCGGAUUAGCUAGUUGGUGGGGUAAAGGCCUACCAAGGCGACGAUCUGUAGCGGGUCUGAGAGGAUGAUCCGCCACACUGGGACUGAGACACGGCCCAGACUCCUACGGGAGGCAGCAGUGGGGAAUAUUGGACAAUGGGGGGAACCCUGAUCCAGCCAUGCCGCGUGUGUGAAGAAGGCCUUAUGGUUGUAAAGCACUUUAAGCGAGGAGGAGGCUACUUUAGUUAAUACCUAGAGAUAGUGGACGUUACUCGCAGAAUAAUCACCGGCUAACUCUGUGCCAGCAGCCGCCGUAA
rnacentral:rRNA from 1 species